GCCCUUGAAAUUAGGAAGUCAGUAACCAAGCUCUAUUGUUUUCCAGGCAAAGAAUUCUUAUGAUGUAUAGUAGAUCUGCAGACACAGAUUCUAAUUCCAGCCCCACUUAGUACUUGCGAAGCCGUGCUUGAUGAAGACUUGAGAGUGAUCCAAAAGAUGGGACACAUCAAGAUUCUGCACUGGAGCCAUCUGUCCUCUCUGCUGAAUUUGGUAACAGACUGGAGAACUUAG
rnacentral:lncRNA from 12 species